UGAGGAAUAUUGGUCAAUGGGCGAGAGCCUGAACCAGCCAAGUAGCGUGCAGGAUGACGGCCCUAUGGGUUGUAAACUGCUUUUAUAUGGGAAUAAAGUGAGGGACGUGUCCCUUAUUGCAUGUACCAUAUGAAUAAGGACCGGCUAAUUCCGUGCCAGCAGCCGCGGUAAUACGGAAGGUCCAGGCGUUAUCCGGAUUUAUUGGGUUUAAAGGGAGCGUAGGCUGUUUGUUAAGCGUGUUGUGAAAUGUAAGAGCUCAACUUUUAGAUUGCAGCGCGAACUGGCAGACUUGAGUGCACACAACGUAGGCGGAAUUCAUGGUGUAGCGGUGAAAUGCUUAGAUAUCAUGACGAACUCCGAUUGCGAAGGCAGCUUACGGGAGCGCAACUGACGCUAAAGCUCGAAGGUGCGGGUAUCGAACAGG
rnacentral:rRNA from 1 species